rnacentral:rRNA from 1 species
GACGAACGCUGGCGGCGUGCUUAACACAUGCAAGUCGAACGGAAAGGCCUGUCCUUCCUUGUGUUGGACGGGUACUCGAGUGGCGAACGGGUGAGUAACACGUGAGUGAUCUGCCCCCAACUUGGGUAUAAGCCUGGGAAACUGGGUCUAAUUCCCGAUAGGACUGCAGGGUGGUGCCUGUGGUGGAAAACGAUUUUCUAGUGGUUGGGGAUGAGCUCGCGGCCUAUCAGCUUGUUGGUGGGGUAAUGGCCUACCAAGGCGGCGACGGGUAGCCGGCCUGGGAGGGUGGACGGCCACAUUGGGACUGAGAUACGGCCCAGACUCCUACGGGAGGCAGCAGUGGGGAGUAUUGCACAAUGGGCGGAAGCCUGAUGCAGCGACGCCGCGUGGGGGAUGACGGCCUUCGGGUUGUAAACUCCUUUCGACCGCGAGGAAGCCGCCUGGUUGGAAGGGUGGUGACGGUAGUGGUAGAAGAAGCACCGGCUAACUACGUG